ACAGAUCACAGAAAAGCCCGUCUACAUGACCAUAAAAAUCCCAUAACUGGAAGUAAUCUGAUAAUUGCCGCAAUCAGAUGCAAUGCGUUUACAUGCACUUCAGAAAUGCCACAAUCAAAAAAACAAGGUUUACAUGCUUCAGUCCGUUAUUUGAUUACUUUCAGAGUACGUACGUACGUUAUGACGUAAGACGUACACCUCCUGUUAUUUUCUAAACAUCCGGUCUUGUCUCAGACAUUCUAAAGGACAACUUUUGGAACGCAUUGCCAUUCCUGUAUUUCUUCCCAUCAAGCAGAUGGAGGAUAUUGAGAGUUUUCAUUUGGUGCAGCAUGAAAUUUGUUUCCUGUUCACUCCAGAAGUGAGUCUUUGCCGAUUUUUUGCUGCUACGUGCCA